AUCUUAUUACUUAAGUUGUUUAAGUGAAAUUGUUUAUAAAAAAAUUUUUAGUGGAUGGUUUUGAGUAUAGUUUAUAGAAUUUAUGUGAUAAGUAAUAGUGGAAUAGUACUGUGGAGGAAAUGUGAAAUAGAUGAAAUAAUUAUUGGAAUGAAAGAAGAAUGAAUUUUUGUACCUUGGGUAUCAGGGUUUAUUAAUUAAUGAUAAUGAUUUAUAGUUCUCGAAUUAAGAAGAGUUAAAAUAGUAUAAUAGUUAAUGUGUCAUUAUUAUUAUUAAGAUUAUUUUAGGGAUGAAAUGUUAAGCGUUUUUUAAGUUAUCUGGUUUUUUAAGAAAUGAAUUUAAUCAGGUCAUUAGGAGAAAGUUUUGGUUUGGGAUCAUGAUUUUUUUUAGAUGACAAAUGUAUAGGGGGAUAAGCUUCUGUAUAUAUUAUUAUAAAUUAUGGAAUAAUAAAAGGGUUGUAGGCUUUAAAGUAGCUAUCAAUAAAAUAGUGUUAUAAGUUGGUUUAUAUUGAAAUUAUUUUUUUAUAGAUUUAAUUUGUUUAUUAGAAUGUUAUAAAUAAUAAGGUUAUAUAAGUAAUAAUGAUAAAAUGAGUAUAUAGAAUGGUUUAAUAUUUUUUAUAGGUAAUUUAUAAUAAGGAACUAGGCAAAUUAUCACUCGCCUGUUUAUCAAAAACAUCUCCUUUAGUGUUUAUAUAAGGUUGGGCCUGCCCACUGAAAUUGUUGAAGGGCCGCAGUAUUAUGACUGUGCAAAGGUAGCAUAAUCAUUAGUCUUUUAAUUGAAGGCUGGUAUGAAUGGUUUAACGAGGUGAUAACUGUCUCAUUAUAAUAUAUGGAAGUUAACUUUUAAGUUAAAAGGCUUAAAUAUUAGUGAGGGACGAGAAGACCCUAUAGAGCUUUAUAUAUAAAUAUAAAUUUGUAUUGUGGGGGUUCAUCAGAAUUUUUAUUAAUUUAUAUUGUGUUGGGGUGACAUAAAGAUAAAAUAAACUCUUUAUACUUUUUACAUUGAUGUAUGGAUAUAUGAUCCAUUUUUUAGUGAUUAUAAGAUUAAGUUACCUUAGGGAUAACAGCGUAAUUUUUCUUGAAAGUUCGUAUUAACAGAAAAUAUUGCGACCUCGAUGUUGGAUUAAGGAAUAUGAUUAGAUGUAGCAGUUUAAUUAAUGGGUCUGUUCGACCCUUGAAUCCUUACAUGAUCUGAGUUCAGACCGGUGUAAGCCAGGUCGGUUUCUAUCUUUAUUGUUGUUAUAUAUUUUAGUACGAAAGGACCAAGUAUAUUAAAUAUUUUAUUUUUAUUUGAUUAGUUAU
rnacentral:rRNA from 1 species